GACGAACGCUGGCGGCGUGCUUAACACAUGCAAGUCGAACGGUGAAGCGCCUUCCUUUUUGGUGGGUGUGGAUGAGUGGCGAACGGGUGAGUAACACGUGAGUAACCUGCCCCCUUCUUCUGGAUAACCGCAUGAAAGUGUGGCUAAUACGGGAUAUUCUGGGUCUGUCGCAUGAUGGGUCUGGGAAAGAUAUUGUUUCGGUGGGGGAUGGGCUCGCGGCCUAUCAGCUUGUUGGUGGGGUGAUGGCCUACCAAGGCGGUGACGGGUAGCCGGCCUGAGAGGGAGGACGGUCACACUGGGACUGAGACACGGCCCAGACUCCUACGGGAGGCAGCAGUGGGGAAUAUUGCACAAUGGGCGCAAGCCUGAUGCAGCGACGCCGCGUGAGGGAUGGAGGCCUUCGGGUUGUGAACCUCUUUCGCCAGUGAAGCAGGCCUGCCUCGUUUGUGGGUGGGUUGACGGUAGCUGGAUAAGAAGCGCCGGCUAACUACGUG
rnacentral:rRNA from 1 species